AUACGGAGGGUGCAAGCGUUAUCCGGAAUCAUUGGGUUUAAAGGGUCCGUAGGCGGGCUAAUAAGUCAGGGGUGAAAUCCCACAGCUUAACUGUGGAACUGCCCUUGAUACUGUUGGUCUUGAGUUACAGUGAAGUGGUUAGAAUGUGUAGUGUAGCGGUGAAAUGCAUAGAGAUUACACAGAAUACCGAUUGCGAAGGCAGAUCACUAACUGUAUACUGACGCUAAUGGACGAAAGCGUGGGGAGUGAACAGGAUUAGAAACCCGGGUAGUCC
rnacentral:rRNA from 1 species